rnacentral:rRNA from 1 species
UACGAAGGGGGCUAGCGUUGUUCGGAAUUACUGGGCGUAAAGCGCGCGCAGGCGGCCUUUUAAGUCUGCUGGUGAAAUGCCGGGGCUCAACCCCGUGCCCGCCACAGAUACUGGGAGGCUGGAGACGAGUAGAGGCAAGCGGAAUUCCGGGUGUAGCGGUGGAAUGCGUAGAGAUCCGGAAGAACACCGGAGGCGAAGGCGGCUUGCUGGGCUCGGUCUGACGCUGAGGCGCGAAAGCCAGGGGAGCAAACGGG